rnacentral:rRNA from 1 species
AUGAACGCUAGCUACAGGCUUAACACAUGCAAGUCGAGGGGCAGCAUGAGCUCAGUUAUCUGGGUUUGAUGGCGACCGGCGCACGGGUGCGUAACGCGUAUGCAACCUACCUUUAACAGGGGGAUAACACUGAGAAAUUGGUACUAAUACCCCAUAAUAUCAUAGAAGGCAUCUUUAUGGUUGAAAAUUCCGAUGGUUAGAGAUGGGCAUGCGUUGUAUUAGCUAGUUGGUGGGGUAACGGCUCACCAAGGCGACGAUACAUAGGGGGACUGAGAGGUUAACCCCCCACACUGGUACUGAGACACGGACCAGACUCCUACGGGAGGCAGCAGUGAGGAAUAUUGGUCAAUGGACGCAAGUCUGAACCAGCCAUGCCGCGUGCAGGAUGACGGCUCUAUGAGUUGUAAACUGCUUUUGUACUAGGGUAAACUCACCUACGUGUAGGUGACUGAAAGUAUAGUACGAAUAAGGAUCGGCUAACUCCGUG